AUUCCUGGUAUCCCUGGAAAUCAAGGACUCAAAGGACAAAAGGGUGAAAUUGGACCACCAGGUCAACCAGGAGCAAAAGGGUCACCAGGAGAUACUGUAAGUUUGCAAAAAUUUGUUAUUAUGGACAAAUAAUUCUGGUGUUGUCGUUCUCUAUUUGUCAUAAACAAACAAGC
rnacentral:lncRNA from 1 species